rnacentral:rRNA from 1 species
AGAUUGAACGCUAGCGGGAUGCUUUACACAUGCAAGUCGAACGGCAGCGCGGACUUCGGUCUGGCGGCGAGUGGCGAACGGGUGAGUAAUAUAUCGGAGCGUGCCCAGUAGCGGGGGAUAACUACGCGAAAGCGUGGCUAAUACCGCAUACGCCCUACGGGGGAAAGGGGGGAUUCUUCGGAACCUCUCACUAUUGGAGCGGCCGAUAUCAGAUUAGCUAGUUGGUGAGGUAAAGGCUCACCAAGGCGACGAUCUGUGGCUGGUUUGAGAGGACGACCAGCCACACUGGGACUGAGACACGGCCCAGACUCCUACGGGAGGCAGCAGUGGGGAAUUUGGACAAUGGGGGAAACCUGAUCCAGCCAUCCCGCGUGUGCGAUGAAGGCCUGGUGUAAAG